GACGAACGCUGGCGGCGUGCCUAAUACAUGCAAGUUGAGCGCUGAAGGUUGGUACUUGUACCAACUGGAUGAGCAGCGAACGGGUGAGUAACGCGUGGGGAAUCUGCCUUUGAGCGGGGGACAACAUUUGGAAACGAAUGCUAAUACCGCAUAAAAACUUUAAACACAAGUUUUAAGUUUGAAAGAUGCAAUUGCAUCACUCAAAGAUGAUCCCGCGUUGUAUUAGCUAGUUGGUGAGGUAAAGGCUCACCAAGGCGAUGAUACAUAGCCGACCUGAGAGGGUGGUCGGCCACAUUGGGACUGGGACACGGCCCAAACUUCUACGGGAAGCAGCAGUAGGGAAUCUUCGGGAAUGGACGAAAGGCUGACCGAGCAACGCCGCGGGAGGGAAGAAGGGUGUCGGAUCGUAAAACUCCGUUGGUAGGGAAGAACGUUGGUGAGAGUGGAAAGCUCAUCAAGUGACGGUAACUACCCAGAAAGGGACGGCUAACUACGUG
rnacentral:rRNA from 1 species